CCUACGGGUGGCAGCAGUGGGGAAUAUUGCGCAAUGGGCGAAAGCCUGACGCAGCGACGCCGCGUGAGGGAUGAAGGUCUUAGGAUCGUAAACCUCUGUCAGCAGGGAAGAACGGUCACUGUGCUAAUCAGCAGUGAAUUGACGGUACCUGCAAAGGAAGCACCGGCUAAUUCCGUGCCAGCAGCCGCGGUAAUACGGAGGGUGCGAGCGUUAAUCGGAAUUACUGGGCGGAAAGCGCUCGUAGGCGGUAUGGCAAGUAAAGGGUGAAAUCCCCGGGCUCAACGUGGGAACUGCCUUUGAAACUGGCAAGCUGGAGUGUGUGAGAGGAUAGUGGAAUUCGAGGUGUAGGGGUGAAAUCCUUAGAUAUCUGGAAGAACAUCAGUGGCGAAGGCGACUAUCUGGCACAUAACUGACGCUGAGGAGCGAAAGCGUGGGUAGCAAACAGGAUUAGAUACCCCGGUAGUG
rnacentral:rRNA from 1 species